rnacentral:rRNA from 1 species
GUUGUUGGGUAGGGGAGCGUUCUGUAAGCCUGUGAAGGUGUACUGUGAGGUAUGCUGGAGGUAUCAGAAGUGCGAAUGCUGACAUAAGUAACGAUAAAGCGGGUGAAAAGCCCGCUCGCCGGAAGACCAAGGGUUCCUGUCCAACGUUAAUCGGGGCAGGGUGAGUCGACCCCUAAGGCGAGGCCGAAAGGCGUAGUCGAUGGGAAACAGGUUAAUAUUCCUGUACUUGGUGUUACUGCGAAGGGGGGACGGAGAAGGCUAUGUUGGCCGGGCGACGGUUGUCCCGGUUUAAGCGUGUAGGCUGGUUUUCCAGGCAAAUCCGGAAAAUCAAGGCUGAGGCGUGAUGACGAGGCACUACGGUGCUGAAGCAACAAAUGCCCUGCUUCCAGGAAAAGCCUCUAAGCAUCAGGUAACAUCAAAUCGUACCCCAAACCGACACAGGUGGUCAGGUAGAGAAUACCAAGGCGCUUGAGAGAACUCGGGUGAAGGAACUAGGCAAAAUGGUGCCGUAACUUCGGGAGAAGGCACGCUGAUAUGUAGGUGAAGUCCCUCGCGGAUGGAGCUGAAAUCAGUCGAAGAUACCAGCUGGCUGCAACUGUUUAUUAAAAACACAGCACUGUGCAAACACGAAAGUGGACGUAUACGGUGUGACGCCUGCCCGGUGCCGGAAGGUUAAUUGAUGGGGUUAGCGCAAGCGAAGCUCUUGAUCGAAGCCCCGGUAAACGGCGGCCGUAACUAUAACGGUCCUAAGGUAGCGAAAUUCCUUGUCGGGUAAGUUCCGACCUGCACGAAUGGCGUAAUGAUGGCCAGGCUGUCUCCACCCGAGACUCAGUGAAAUUGAACUCGCUGUGAAGAUGCAGUGUACCCGCGGCAAGACGGAAAGACCCCGUGAACCUUUACUAUAGCUUGACACUGAACAUUGAGCCUUGAUGUGUAGGAUAGGUGGGAGGCUUUGAAGUGUGGACGCCAGUCUGCAUGGAGCCGACCUUGAAAUACCACCCUUUAAUGUUUGAUGUUCUAACGUUGACCCGUAAUCCGGGUUGCGGACAGUGUCUGGUGGGUAGUUUGACUGGGGCGGUCUCCUCCUAAAGAGUAACGGAGGAGCACGAAGGUUGGCUAAUCCUGGUCGGACAUCAGGAGGUUAGUGCAAUGGCAUAAGCCAGCUUGACUGCGAGCGUGACGGCGCGAGCAGGUGCGAAAGCAGGUCAUAGUGAUCCGGUGGUUCUGAAUGGAAGGGCCAUCGCUCAACGGAUAAAAGGUACUCCGGGGAUAACAGGCUGAUACCGCCCAAGAGUUCAUAUCGACGGCGGUGUUUGGCACCUCGAUGUCGGCUCAUCACAUCCUGGGGCUGAAGUAGGUCCCAAGGGUAUGGCUGUUCGCCAUUUAAAGUGGUACGCGAGCUGGGUUUAGAACGUCGUGAGACAGUUCGGUCCCUAUCUGCCGUGGGCGCUGGAGAACUGAGGGGGGCUGCUCCUAGUACGAGAGGACCGGAGUGGACGCAUCACUGGUGUUCGGGUUGUCAUGCCAAUGGCACUGCCCGGUAGCUAAAUGCGGAAGAGAUAAGUGCUGAAAGCAUCUAAGCACGAAACUUGCCCCGAGAUGAGUUCUCCCUGAC